rnacentral:rRNA from 1 species
GACGAACGCUGGCGGCGUGCCUAAUACAUGCAAGUCGAGCGCAGGAAGCCGUCUGAACCCUUCGGGGGGACGACGGUGGAAUGAGCGGCGGACGGGUGAGUAACACGUAAAGAACCUGCCCAUAGGUCUGGGAUAACCACGAGAAAUCGGGGCUAAUACCGGAUGUGUCAUCGGACCGCAUGGUCCGCUGAUGAAAGGCGCUCCGGCGUCGCCCAUGGAUGGCUUUGCGGUGCAUUAGCUAGUUGGUGGGGUAACGGCCCACCAAGGCGACGAUGCAUAGCCGACCUGAGAGGGUGAUCGGCCACACUGGGACUGAGACACGGCCCAGACUCCUACGGGAGGCAGCAGUAGGGAAUCUUCCACAAUGGACGAAAGUCUGAUGGAGCAACGCCGCGUGAACGAUGAAGGCUUUCGGGUCGUAAAGUUCUGUUGUAAGGGAAGAACAAGCGCCGCAGGCAAUGGCGGCACCUUGACGGUACCUUGCGAGAAAGCCACGGCUAACUACGUGCCAGCCGCCGCGGUAACAC